GAUGAACGCUGGCGGCGUGCCUAAUACAUGCAAGUCGAGCGAACAGACGAGGAGCUUGCUCCUCUGACGUUAGCGGCGGACGGGUGAGUAACACGUGGACAACCUACCUAUAAGACUGGGAUAAUUUCGGGAAACCGGAGCUAAUACCGGAUAAUAUAUUGAACCGCAUGGUUUAAUAGUGAAAGACGGUUUUGCUGUCACUUAUAGAUGGAUCCGCGCCGCAUUAGCUAGUUGGUAAGGUAACGGCUUACCAAGGCAACGAUGCGUAGCCGACCUGAGAGGGUGGUCGGCCGCACUGGAACUGAGACACGCUCCCGACUCCAACGGGACGCAGCAGUAGGGAAGCUUCCGCAGUGGGCGCAAGCCUGACGGGGCAACGCCGCGUGAGUGAUGAAGGUCUUCGGAUCGUAAAACUCUAUUAUGAGGGAAGAACAAAUGUGUAAGUAACUAUACACGUCUUGACGGUACCGAAUCAGAAAGCCACGGCUAACUACGUG
rnacentral:rRNA from 1 species